rnacentral:rRNA from 1 species
CACGUAGGGUGCGAGCGUUUGUCCGGAAUUAUUGGCGUAAAGAGCUCGUAGGCGGUGUGUCGCGUCGGCCGUGAAACCUGCAGCUUAACUGUGGGCUUGCGGUCGAUACGGGCAUCACUGGAGUUCGGCAGGGGAGACUGGAAUUCCUGGUGUAGCGGUGAAAUGCGCAGAUAUCAGGAGGAACACCGGUGGCGAAGGCGGGUCUGCUGGGCCGAUACUGACGCUGAGGAGCGAAAGCGUGGGGAGCGAACAGG